rnacentral:rRNA from 1 species
UACGUAGGGCGCAAGCGUUGUCCGGAAUUAUUUGGGCGUAAAGAGCUCGUAGGCGGUCUGUCGCGUCGGAUGUGAAAGCCCGGGGCUUAACCCCGGGUCUGCAUUCGAUACGGGCAGACUAGAGUGUGGUAGGGGAGAUCGAAUUCCUGGUGUAGCGGUGAAAUGCGCAGAUAUCAGGAGGAACACCGGUGGCGAAGGCGGAUCUCUGGGCCAUUACUGACGCUGAGGAGCGAAAGCGUGGGGAGCGAACAGG